rnacentral:lncRNA from 1 species
CAUGCAAAAGAUCGAAGAAUUUUAGAGAGAGAAAGUAGAGAGAAGGGAGAGCAUCGGAAGAGUCUCGAAGAGACUCAGAUAUUAUUUCAGAGAAAAUGAACCCUCGGUCCUUACAAACGACCCCUGACCCCUUAUAUCAAAAUAACCCUUUUACAAAUAUAGCCUAGUUAUUACAGAAACAGCGUAAUUACACAAAUAACCUAAUUACAGAAAUAUACUAAUUACA